rnacentral:sRNA from 1 species
AACACGUCUACCCCAACGGUUAUCGGUUC